rnacentral:misc_RNA from 1 species
ACAUUAAGUGCAUAUAAAACACAAAAAUAUAUGCAGGCUCACCAGGAAAGGGUCUCCUAUACUAACUGCCUUUGAAGCAUUUUGAAGAUGCAAUUCAAAUAAUUCUAAAUAUCCUUCAUACUAAUUCGUCCUACAAAAUCAAAUUUCUGUUUGAUAUCCUGACUUCAGAUCCAUCUUCUACUUUUAACUUAUUUCUUCAAAUCUCAGCCUGUUCAAGAUCCACAAGGAAUG